UACAGAGGUCUCAAGCGUUGUUCGGAUUCAUUGGGCGUAAAGGGUGCGUAGGCGGCGUGGUAAGUCGGAUGUGAAAUCUCGGGGCUUAACUCCGAAACUGCAUUCGAUACUGCCGUGCUUGAGGACUGGGGAGGAGACUGGAAUUUAACGGUGUAGCGGUGAAAUGCGUAGAUAUCGUAAGGAAGACCAGUGGCGAAGGCGGGUCUCUGGACAGUUCCUGACGCUGAGGCACGAAGGUCAGGGGAGCAAACGGG
rnacentral:rRNA from 1 species